rnacentral:lncRNA from 1 species
AUGGCGCAAUUGAACCACACGGUGCGCGGCAGCGCAGCUGGCCGGAACCUGCCCUGGGCAGCCGUCCUGGGCUGCUUUCAUGACCUACAAACCUGCCUUCCUCUUGAAUGUCCGACGAGAACAGCCGUCCUUGCAGAGGGCAGCACAACAGUGAUGUCACAGUACAGUCUGAGGUGUCCCUUAAAUACCCAGCUCCCUGGAGGCUCCUAUAGAGGCGAAGUCUGUCGUUUUCUGUUUGGGGCAAUCAAGACGGUGUCUGCUGCUUUUCUGCCAGGUCUCAGGCACCCUUCAAAGACGACCAACCCUGACGGUUUUCACUGCUCCUUGGUUCCGGCUCCCUCAGGACUUCCCCGGCCUCACAAUCCCACAUCCUCUUCCCAGCUGUCCCUGUUCAUUUCCCCUACAAAGGAGGGCACUUGCUCAUACCCGCCUCGAUGGCACCUGGACCAGCUCUUGUUUCUGGCUGAGCAGCCGUGGUGUUUCUGACACUGUCAGUGUUUCUUGAUCUUUGGAUUAUUUCUAAGAUCAGAAGAUACAAGUUCUGGUUUUCUCCCAGCGUGUUUGCACUUGCGGGUUCAGGCCCUCCGAUGCUGUACUCCACCACCCUAUCCACACAGCACCCUCGCCAGGGACCUGCUUGGAGGUCGUUUAUUGCCCUACAUCAUUUGGAAGUGUCCUUGGCACUUCUCCCCUCCCGCACCACAUGGCAAGAGUUUCAGACAAAACUGCAAUUGAAUCCAGCUCUGCUCCUCACAGGCUGUGCAGCCUUCGUGAAUCUCUUAACCUCUCUGAGUCUCAGUUUGGACACAUAAAAAUGAACUUAGCAAUAUCUGUCUCACCAAGCUACUGAAGGGACUAAAGGAGAAACAUGUGUCAAAGCACACAGCCCAAUGCUCAGCACGUAAAAGUUCUUACAAAUACCCGUUUUCCUCCCUCCUGCUUUUUGGCGCCCCAUGUGUAUAAAAAAGGCACUAAAAUCAUGCAUUCCAGGGUACAUCUCAUUAUUGCUUUCAGCUCUGAUUUGUCCAAGCGAAGGAACAGAAGGCACUAGCCCUUCUGUCUAACAGGUACAGGAACAGAGCACCACUCUCGAGUCAGAAUCGGCUGCAUGUGAAUCCCAGCUCACUGUGACAUGGAACCUCAGUUCUCUAAGACUAUGAUAAUAACUGUGUGGGUUUUAUAAGGUUUUUGGAGAAUUAAAUUGAGAUAAUAUACAUAAAGCCCUUGGAUUAGUGCAUGGUCAUUAUAUGUGUUUAGUAAAUGCUGGCUAUUAUUUGUAACCAGUGCUUAAUAUGUGCUGGUGCUAUAAAUAUGUAAUUUUGCUGUAGCAGUUUGAUAUUAUUGAUGAAUUUCAAAAAGAAAUAGUGGAUCAUAUUUGUAAACUGUCUUUUCCUCUGGGCAGAUUAGAUUAUAUUAGAUUCAGAGGUUUACUUGAUAAAGUAAUCAGGUAAAUCUCUUGUGCCAGUAGGGUGUUGAGUCUCCACCCUUUGGUGGUUGGGGACUCGGAUAAAAGGCCUGGUAAACGACAGAGUUGAGGGUUUUUGAUAUUGGAGUUUUGAUGUUGGAGUUUGAUACUGAAGCCUUAAGCUGGAGCCCCGGGAAGUAAACUCACAGAGGAAAGAGAAGCAAGCCCCAGGAAGAGAUGAAUCCUGAGCCCAGGAAAAAGAAGCCUGAGGAAGGGAGGAACCCAGCAAGCCUGAACCCUUACAGAUGUCAGCAGCCAUCUUGCUCCAACACAUGGAAAUAGACUUUGAUGAGGGAAGAAACUUAUGCUUUAUGGCCUGGUAUCUGUAAGCUCCUAUCCCAAACAAAUACCCUUCAUAAAAACCAACCACUUUCUGGUAUUUUGCAUCAGCACCCCUUUGGCUGACUAAUACAUUUACCUAUAAUUUUUAAAAUGUGCAUGUUAUCUUCAUUUUACCAAUGAGAGAUUAAAAGGACUUCCAGCCCUUAGUACUGAGUCACCUUGACACCUUGUGUUUUCUCCAUGGUCAUUUACACCACAGAGUAAAGGCAAGACAUCGAAGCAGCCUAUAGAAAUAACAUCUGAUUGGGUGGAGGGAACUGCCUCUGAAAUUUUUUUUUCUAAUAAACCUCUGGCAUUGAAUGAGAAUAAACUGUUACCACUCGAAGAGCUUUGAAAGAAAAGGACUGUAUAAACAAAAAAUAAAUAUUGCUCUGAGAAUAUGUCAGCAUAAUUUAUAUAAUAAAUCACUGUGUUACCACUAAUUAUGAUGACAUGAGUAUGAACCACUAAUUAUAUAGAAUUAAAUAAUAAAUUCUAAAUAAAUACCACAUAUUUUUAUAGCACCUAUUUUCUAGUACCUCCGAGCAAUUUGGAAUCUUAUGUUGAAUUCGGUGCCAAAAUAAUGUAAUGCGUUUCUAAUUCUCAGGCCAAAGAAACCUGGUGUAAGAAUUUAUGGAUAUUAGUGAUGUGAACAGAAACUACCAAAAUAAGAAGUGCAGAACAUGAUUCUUAGCAAAUCCUCUUUUAGGGUCAAAAGCCUCAGGUCACAGCUCAAAAGCACACCACUGGGGUAAAGGCAAGGAGAAGAAGGCUGCUGACAGGUGUCCACAGCAUAUACAGAGGUGUGUUGUCCAUAUAGCUUGUAUUUUAUGAAGUCCCAAAGACGGGAAAGCUCAAAAGUCAACCUAGAUUUUUUUUCAAAGAUUUAUUUAUUUAUUUAUUUAUCCUUCACCCACCCCGCCCAGCCCCAGUUGUCUGCUCUCUGUGUCCAUUUGCUGUGUGUUCUUCUGUGUCUGCUUGUAUUCUCAUUAGGCAGCUCCAGGGACCGCUCCUGGGACUUUCCAUAGUGGCAGAGAAGUGAUCGUUCUCUUACACCACCUCAGCUCCUUGCUCUGCUGUGUCUCUUAUUAUCUCUCCUCUGUGUCUCUUUUUGUUGUGUCAUCUUGCUGUGCCAGCUCUCUGCAUAGGCCAGCAUUCCUGCGCAGGGCAGCACUCCUGAGUGGGGCAGCACUCCAUGUAGGCCAGCACUCUGUGUGCACCAGCUCUCUACACAGGCCAGCUUGCCUUCACCAGGAGGCCCUGGGUAUCAAACCCUGGACUUUCUAUAUGGUAGAUGGGAGCCCAAUUGCUUGAGCCACAUCCACUUCCCCCAUGGCAUUUUAACCUUUUCAAUUAACAUACACAUGCAAAUUGUAUUUAUAAGUAGGGAGAAGUAAAUCAGAUCAAGGAGUUCAGGAGCCAACACAAAAGAAACUUCCCUGAGAUCAGUGUAGGAGAUGUGGAGUUCCCAGCUACUCCAAAACCUGAAUGUGUUUCUGUUUUCAAGUCAAGAAAAUAAAGGUCCUAUUCAAGAAUCCACAGUGGCUAUUUCAACAAUGACCAAGCCCAAUGAAUUAUGAUCAAAGGUCAAGAAAAAUAUUGGUUCUUACAUCAGCAUAAUGGAUUAUUUGCUUUAAGAAAAAAAGCUUAGUAUAAUAUUAAUGGAAACAUUCUGCAAGUCUUAUGAAGAAAUUUUUUGUUCCAAAUAAUAUGCUCGUCUUUGACAAUUGAUGAAGAGAUUAAAUACACACAAAUUAUUUGAUGGAGUUACAUGGACUUGAUAUACAAAAAGACAUUUUUUUCCCAUUCCUGGUGUUUUCUACAAGAGCCGCAUGUAUUUGAUGUCUCUGGUCCAAAUAUUACACUCUUAAACAUUCAGAAAUGUGUAGAGUAGACCUGCUAUGUCAAAACUGUUACCCUUAAAAUAUCAUCUGUUAAGCUAUGAAUAUAAAAUAUAUGAAUUGAUGCAAAAAUAUAUGCAUGGAUACAUCUUGGUGCUUCUCCAAGGUAUAGAAGACUUUUAGCUUCAUUUCACAAAUGGUUGUUAAUAAUACCAUCCUUCUCCUACUCUCUUGCAAAGCAUUGUUUAUAUAUUUACCCCUUAUACUUGUUAUCUCAUUUCACGCUCACAGAUGGGUUUUAUUGACUCCAUUGAACAAACAAAUCUAAGGCUGAGAAAAUUUGAGUAACCUGCCCAGGGUGGAGGUGGGAUUUAUUUGAACCCAAGUCCCAUACUCUUUGCACUGAGCCUCCACACUCGCUGGAUGGGUGUGUAUAAUUUCAGGUUUUGAAAGAGCAAGCUUUAUGGUUUUGUUUGCCUUUACAUUUUUUCCCAGCUGGAAAGCCCUUACCCUGCCUAAAGCAACCUAAGGUUUAGAAAUAAACUUCUGCCAGUCUUUUAUGUAGUGACCUCGCUCCCG